rnacentral:rRNA from 1 species
GAUGAACGCUGGCGGCGUGCCUAACACAUGCAAGUCGAACGAAAGGACGAGAAGCUUGCUUCUAUGAUGUUAGCGGCGGACGGGUGAGUAACACGUGGAGAACCUACCUAUAAGAAUGGGAGAACUUCGGGAAACCGGAGCUAAUACCGGAUAAUAUUUUGAAUCGAAUGGUUCAAAAGUGAAAGACGGUCUUGCUGUCACUAAUAGCUGGAUCCGCGCUGCAUUAGCUAGUUGGUAAGGGAACGGCUUACCACGGCAACGAUGCAUAGCCGACCUGAGAGGGUGGACGGACAGCCUGUGAGUGAGACAGGGCACAGACUCCUAGGGGGAGAGACAGUACGGAAUCUUCCGCGAGGGGCGAGUGCCUGACAGAGCAACGCGGCGUGAGUGAUGAGGGACUUCGGAUCCGAAAGCUCUGUUAUUAGGGAAGAUCAUAUGUGUAAGUAACUGUGAAGAUAUUGACGGUACCUGGUCAGAAAGCUACGGCUAACUACGUG